AAUCAACGCUGGCGGCGUGCCUCAGACAUGCAAGUCGAACGCGAAAUCUCCCUUCGGGGAGAAAGUAGAGUGGCGCACGGGUGAGUAACACGUAGGUAAUUUGCCUUUGGGUGGGGAAUAACUCAGGGAAACUUGAGCUAAUACCGCAUAAUGCAGCGGCUCGACAUCGAGACAGUUGUUAAAGCGGGGGAUUCGCAAGAACCUCGCGCCUGAAGAGAAGCCUGCGGCAGAUUAGCUAGUUGGUAGGGUAAUGGCCUACCAGGCAACGAUCUGUAACCGGCCUGAGAGGGCGGUCGGGUCACACUGA
rnacentral:rRNA from 1 species